CCUGGCUCAGGAUGAACGCUAGCGGGAGGCUUAACACAUGCAAGCCGAGGGGUAUAGUUAGCUUGCUAACUAGAGACCGGCGCACGGGUGCGUAACGCGUAUGCAACUUGCCCUACUGAAAAGGAUAGCCCUUCGAAAGGAGGAUUAAUACUUUAUAAUAGAAAUCAUGGCAUCAUGAAUUUUUGAAAGAUUUAUCGCAGUAGGAUAGGCAUGCGUAAGAUUAGUUAGUUGGUGAGGUAACGGCUCACCAAGACGAUGAUCUUUAGGGGGCCUGAGAGGGUGAACCCCCACACUGGUACUGAGACACGGACCAGACUCCUACGGGAGGCAGCAGUGAGGAAUAUUGGACAAUGGGUGGAAGCCUGAUCCAGCCAUCCCGCGUGUAGGAUGACGGCCUUAUGGGUUGUAAACUACUUUUAUCUGGGGAUAAACCUACUAACGUGUAAGUAGCUGAAGGUACCAGAAGAAUAAGCACCGGCUAACUCCGUGCCAGCAGCCGCGGUAAUACGGAGGGUGCAAGCGUUAUCCGGAUUUAUUGGGUUUAAAGGGUCCGUAGGCGGAUUAAUCAGUCAGUGGUGAAAUCUCAUAGCUUAACUAUGAAACUGCCAUUGAUACUGUUAGUCUUGAGUGAUGUUGAAGUUGCUGGAAUGUGUAGUGUAGCGGUGAAAUGCUUAGAUAUUACGCAGAACACCAAUUGCGAAGGCAGGUGACUAAACAUCAACUGACGCUGAUGGACGAAAGCGUGGGGAGCGAACAGGAUUAGAUACCCUGGUAGUCCACGCCGUAAACGAUGGAUACUUGCUGUUGGGUUUUCGGACUCAGUGGCUAAGCGAAAGUUAUAAGUAUCCCACCUGGGGAGUACGUUCGCAAGAAUGAAACUCAAAGGAA
rnacentral:rRNA from 1 species